GACGAACGCUGGCGGCGUGCUUAACACAUGCAAGUCGAGCGGUAAGGCCCUUUCGGGGGUACACGAGCGGCGAACGGGUGAGUAACACGUGGGUGACCUGCCCUUAGCUCUGGGAUAAGCCUGGGAAACUGGGUCUAAUACCGGAUAUGACUCCAUGACGCAUGUUGUGGGGUGGAAAGCCUUGUGCGGCUAGGGAUGGGCCCGCGGCCUAUCAGCUUGUUGGCGGGGUGAUGGCCUACCAAGGCGACGACGGGUAGCCGGCCUGAGAGGGCGACCGGCCACACUGGGACUGAGACACGGCCCAGACUCCUACGGGAGGCAGCAGUGGGGAAUCUUGCGCAAUGGGCGAAAGCCUGACGCAGCGACGCCGCGUGAGGGAUGACGGCCUCGG
rnacentral:rRNA from 1 species